GAUGAACGCUAGCUACAGGCUUAACACAUGCAAGUCGAGGGUAGCACGGAGGAAGCUUGCUUCCUUGGGUGACGACCGGCGCACGGGUGAGUAACGCGUAUCCGACCUACCCAUAACACGGGCACAGCCGCUCGAAAGAGUGAUUGAUUCCCGAUAUGUUAUAUAAGUAGAUUAUAUAAUGAAAGAUUUAUUGGUAACGGAUGAGGAUGCGUACGAUUAGCUAGUUGGCGGGGUAACGGCCCACCAAGGCGACGAUCGUUAGGGGUUCUGAGAGGAAGGUCCCCCCACACUGGAACUGAGACACGGUCCAGACUCCUACGGGAGGCAGCAGUGAGGAAUAUUGGUCAAUGGGCGAGAGCCUGAACCAGCCAAGUAGCGUGAAGGAUGACUGCCCUACGGGUUGUAAACUUCUUUUGUUUGGGAAUAAAAGACGCUACGUGUAGCGUUCUGCAUGUACCUUACGAAUAAGCAUCGGCUAAUUCCGUG
rnacentral:rRNA from 1 species